UCUUAGAGUGUAUCCAUGGCUUGUGUUUCGAUGGGAAGGCCCACAAGUCAAUCAAUAGGACCACCCCCUACAAAAAUAUUGGUCUUGGAUGGCCACCACCAUCCCCUGAAAUUAACCCAAAUAUGUACCUGGAAACCAUCUAUAUCCAUCUAUUUAGUUAAAUUAUAAAAAUAGGACUACCCCCUCCAGCAAAUUGAGGGAAAAAGUGGAAAAAAGCCCUCCUGGCAAUUAAAAGCAUGCUAUGCAGUGUCCUUCCUCGUCCUUUUUGGCCAUAAUUACAUUUCAAGCCAUAAAAAUGCCUCGAGUGAUUUACUUUUUUUUUCUACUCUGAUUCGACUCUGACGAUAAAAAUUAAAAAAUAUAUAUAUAUUUGUAGUACUUUUUUUAUGGUUCUGUUUCUAAAAAAGUUUUUAUAUUUAAAAGUGAUAAUAAACAGUCUAGAUUUGAUAAUGAAAUGGCAAUUUUUAAUUAUAAUUAUUGACUUCACAAAAAUUUGUGACUUUUUAAAGACAAAGAAAUACUUGAAAAAUUGUUGAAAAUUUUUUAAAGCAAUUUUCCAGUUGAAAGUCAAAAAAUUAUUAAGUCAUCGUAGUCGGUCGUAUUUUAAUUUAUGCAUUUUUUUUUUUAUUUUUGCUUUUGACAGUUAUGGGGGCUUUUUCAUUGCUACCGCGAAUCGUUAAGCGGAUUACGUGCAUUUCCCCCCACUCCAUCCCACUGUGCAUCAAUAAACGAAUUGCACACACACAAAAAGAGAGAGAGAGAGAGAUAGAAACAAGGGGCUUGCACAUUUUACCGUAAAAGAGUACCACGUACUACGUAGUACAUACAUACGUAGCUAUUUUGUCAUUUUACAGUUUAUGAUGUGACCAAAGGAUGGAAAGUAUGAGAAGGAGGAGAAGGAGGAAGAUGGACGAUGAGAGACGCUGCCACAAUAUGGCCGCGAGAUACAGUUAUCAAUUUGCACAAUUGAGAGGAGAGCUGGGCGGGAAACAAGCUGAUAAAUAAAUUGCCAUGGUAAUUGACCAAGACAUACAAUAUACGGUAAAAUGAAGUUAUAAGACAAGGCUGACACUGAGAAAAAUAAAGUUGAAAUAUUUUUAUUUUAAUAAAAAAAUAAAUUUUAAAACAAAAAAAUUGGUAAAAACUAUAAUUAUAGUUUUUCAAUUAAAUAUUUAUAUAUAUAUUUAUAUAUAUAUAUUUUUUUUUGCGUGUAAAAGUGCAAAAGCAUUAAUAAAGCAAAAUAAAAAAAGCGGAACGCUGUCGGCGUCGACGGCGGCGGCGACGUCAACGCAUUCAAGCGGAAAUAAUUGAAAGCGAUGGUGGGGCAUAAAGCAGUGGGGAUAGGGGAUAGGAGGAUAGGGAGAAGCAAAGGCAGGUGCAAAUAGAGGAGAUGCAAAGAGAGAGCAAAGGUUGGACAGCAAAAAUGUGAGCCUAUUAAAUCCGAGACAACUACGGGUCGGAGUCUGGCCAGCCAAAUUAGACAGAAAAGAGCAAACACAGCUAGAAAUGAACAAACAAACAAACAAACAUACAUACAUACAUAUGUACUUAAGUACCUCUAUAUAUGUAUGUAUGUAAGUACGAAAACUCGGACACAAAGGUCGCGCUCUCGUCGCUCGCUCUUGCGUCGCCAUCUCUCCCACUCCUCUGUCCUCUCUCCUCUCCGGGUGCACACCUGUGGCACGCUUUAUGUUUAUUAAUAAUUUAUAAACAUCAGAGAUAGCCGAGAAAAGCAAAAAAACAACAAUAAACAUGCUUGAGGAGGUCCUUCGCAAAAUGUAAACAAGAAAGAUGCCAAAAAUAAUACCAAUGAUUACCGUCAAUGGUUAACGAAGAAAAAUAAAAAGCAUAUAUUUCUGCGUCCAGCUUACGCAUUUACGCACUGCCAUCGUACACUCACACACACACACAGAUACACAGAGAGCUGCUACUCCCACACAUACAUACAUUGGAGGACUUGCAGACACAAACAUUCUCAAACUCUGUUAUCCUUAACAAAUUUCACAGCAAUAUUUGCACAGUUUCUUCCACCUGAAAAACAAACAAAAUAUCACUACUAGGGGAACUCACAUUUUUAUCAUUUUGGAGGCGGACAGCUGCACAAUUAACAAGAAAAUCAGUAAAAAACAAGAAGAAAAACAAAAGGAAGGAAGGCAAUAACAAAAAUAUACAAUGAAUAUACAGUAAAUAUUUGGUGGCACGAUGGGGGGCGGGCGAUUAAACACAAUUUAUCUAUUCAUUUUCUUUUUAGGCACUUUUCCAGGCCACAGAUGAAAAAUGUUUUCUGCUAUUUAGCUUAGCGCUUGCUUCUGCUUGCCUCUUCUUUUUUUUGCAAUCAAAACGUACACACUG